GACGAACGCUGGCGGCGUGCCUAACACAUGCAAGUGGAGCGACGACCCGGGCUUUUAGCCCGGUGCAGAGCCGCGAACGGGUGAGUAACACGUGGGUAACCUGCCCCGAUGACUGGGACAACCCGAGGAAACUCGGGCUAAUACCGGAUGUGCCCUUCGGCCGCAAGGUCGGAUGGGGAAAGGAAGCUUCGGCCUCCGCAUCGGGAUGGGCCCGCGGCGCAUUAGCUUGUUGGUGAGGUAACGGCUCACCAAGGCGACGAUGCGUAGCUGGUCUGAG
rnacentral:rRNA from 1 species